UCACUCCAGGACGUCCAGACACACCGUUUUCCCUCUCCCACCUUGAAAAAAGAAGUUGCCAAUUAGGCAUUUUGCUCUUAUGGGUUGGUUUGCCGCGCUCCAAGCCUAACCCAGACCGGAACGAUUUUUUAAAACAAAUUCCAUAUCAUUGAGGUUUGAAAUAUGGUUGUUUUCAGUACUCGUGCAUGCUCUAUUCUUUGAUUUCCUAGGGUUUACAUAGGUAGCGUAUUCUGUUACAUUUUCCAUUAUCGAAGUUAUUUUUCAACUUUGACCGGUGUUAAGUGGGUAUUUGAUUUCUUUUUCUAUAUUUUAUUACUUGGAUUGGAGGCACACGUUCAAAUUUAGCAUACUAUGAAGAAUGCCAGUUCAACAUUGUUUUGGAGACGCACAUUAAAGUUUCUGGAUGCAUCACUUUUUAUAGGAAUUUCAACUGAGGAGAUUAUGAAGAAUGUAAAUAGUACAAAGCCUGAAGUGAAGCGAGCUUCAAUAAAUAACAUUCUUGAUAGAGCCAGACUGAAGUAUAUUUUUGUCCCGAUGAGGGGUAAACUUUCUUUUUUCCCCCCAACUAAAUCAAUGUUAAUUAUGUUAUAGUUAAGUGUUGACUUGUUUAUGGAAGUUAUUAUCAUUAUUUGGUCAUGCCUAUUAGAUAGUACUGGAUGGAAUUGUUCAUUCUGGUGGAUAUAUGUGUGGAUGCUCAUUUCGUAAUUUAUCCCAAUAUGCUGGUGCCAAAACCAGGCAUCCAAAUAAUCACAUAUCUUGGAGAAUAGAAGGCUAAAUAUUAUCUUGUUCAAUAACUAAAGACUGCUCAACUCAGCAUUUUGUAAUA